UGGGGAAUAUUGCACAAUGGGGGAAACCCUGAUGCAGCAACGCCGCGUGAGUGAGGAAGUAUUUCGGUAUGUAAAGCUCUAUCAGCAGGGAAUAGAAAAGAAGGUACCUGAAAAAGAAGCCCCGGCUAACUACGUGCCAGCAGCCGCGGUAAUACGUAGGGGGCAAGCGUUAUCCGGAUUUACUGGGUGUAAAGGGAGCGUAGACGGAAAGGCAAGUCAGAAGUGAAAACCCAAGGCUCAACCAUGGGACUGCUUUUGAAACUGUCAAACUAGAGUACGGGAGAGGUAAGAGGAAUUCCUAGUGUAGCGGUGAAAUGCGUAGAUAUUAGGAGGAACACCAGUGGCGAAGGCGUCUUACUGGACCGAAACUGACGUUGAGGCUCGAAAGCGUGGGGAGCAAACAGG
rnacentral:rRNA from 1 species